ACUAACUAAUACGAUAAUCACAGCUUUAGAAAAUAAAGCGUACUGUUCCGCUGUCUUCAUAAAUGUAGAAAAAGCUUUCGAUAAAGUGUGGCUUCACGGAUUAUUAUAAAUAAUCAAUAAACACUUUCCACACUCGUAUUAGAAACCCCUCAAAUCUUACCUUUCUGAAAGAACAUUUGACGAAAAAAUAAAUAACGCUCAUUCGAACAUAAAACUAAUCAAAGCUGGAGUUCCGCUGGGAAGUAUCCUCGGGCCAAUUCUCUAUACGGUAGACAUACCACCAAUAAACGCAAACUGUACAAUCUUAACAUUUGCAGACGAUACGGCAUGCUUACCAUAAACAAAGACCCGUAACAAGCAAAUUAAUCGUUACAAAACCAAAUUACUCUUUCGAAGAAUGGUUACAUAAUAGGAAGAUCAAGAAAUUCCGAAAGUAACGACGGUCACAUAUUUGGGACUACACCAAGAUUUCAAACUAACAUGGAAAAAGCAUAUAAAUGCCAAAAUUGAACAAAUUCGUUUUAUAAGAAAACAAAUGGCUUAGCUAACUAGUAAAAAAUCGAAACUUAGCAUAGAGAACAAACUAAUAAUCUACGAAACAAAAAUACAACCAAUCUGUAGACAUAUGGAUUACCGCUAUGGGGUAUAGCAGCUAAAGGUCACAUUGCUAAGCUCGAAGCUCAACAAUCCAUAACCCUACGCGCAAUCGUGAAUGCUCCAUGGUACAAAAGAAGAAUUGAUACGCACAUAAACCGGCUAGCCAACGAUAACUACAACCAAUAUAUACCUAGAAGGAUCAAAAGAGUCCACCCAGGGGACCUGGUAAAAAUUAAUUCUAAAUGAAAUAAAUAACAAUAGCGACGCUAUCUCAUUGAAGAAACCAUCCACGUGCUAUCUUUUUUCACAUAUAUAACAAUUUACCAUAUGUAUACGGACAAAUUGUAAAAAUGUAUGGAGUUAAUAAAAACAAAA